UACGGAAGGCAGCAGUGGGGAAUAUUGCACAAUGGGCGCAAGCCUGAUGCAGCCAUGCCGCGUGUAUGAAGAAGGCCUUCGGGUUGUAAAGUACUUUCAGUCGUGAGGAAGGUGUUAAGGUUAAUAACCUUAGCAAUUGACGUUAGCGACAGAAGAAGCACCGGCUAACUCCGUGCCAGCAGCCGCGGUAAUACGGAGGGUGCGAGCGUUAAUCGGAAUUACUGGGCGUAAAGGGCACGCAGGCGGUUAAUUAAGUUGGAUGUGAAAUCCCCGGGCUUAACCUGGGAAUGGCAUUCAAGACUGGUUAGCUAGAGUCUUGUAGAGGGGGUAGAAUUCCAUGUGUAGCGGUGAAAUGCGUAGAGAUGUGGAGGAAUACCGGUGGCGAAGGCGGCCCCUGGACAAAGGCUGACGCUCGAUGUGCGAAAGCGUGGGGAGCAAACAGGGAUUAGAUACC
rnacentral:rRNA from 1 species